rnacentral:rRNA from 1 species
UACAGAGGUGGCAAGCGUUGUCCGGAAUUACUGGGCGUAACGCGCGCGUAGGCGGCUAGAUAAGUCCGGUGUGAACUCCCACGGCUUAACCGGGGAACGGCAUCGGGGACGGUUUAGCUUGAGGACGGGAGAGGAGAGCGGAAUUCCCGGUGUAGCGGUGAAAUGAGUAGAGAUCGGGAGGAAGGCCGGUGGCGAAGGCGGCUCUCUAGAACGUCACUGACGCUGAGGCGCGAAAGCGUGGGGAGCAAACAGG